UCGUGUGGCAGAAACAGAAGGCCACAGGGAUGAGGACUAACGUCCCCUCUUGGUGUGACAGGAUCCUAUGGAAGUCUUACCCUGAGACUCACAUUGUCUGUAACUCCUAUGGCUGUACAGAUGACGUGGUGACCAGUGACCACUCCCCUGUGUUUGGUACAUUUGAGGUGGGGGUCACCUCACAGUUCGUCUCCAAAAGUGGCC